UGCUGUAUCUGUUUAUGAUCAGCUCAUCUCUAGUCACCCUAAUCACUUUUGGGUUUACCUAGCAAAGGUUAGAUUCUUGUGUGUGUGUGUUUCCUCUUAUGUUCUCUGAGUUUGGUUGAGUUUUCCUCCCACUUAAUUAAUUUUAGAUAGGCUUUUUAUCAAUGCAUAAGUUUAUUUAAUUGAUAAUUGGUGUGGAGUAACAAAGUUGUAUUUUAGAGAACAAAACUUCAGGUAACUUGGAUACAAUUAGCUAUCUUGAUUAAGGAAAUACUUCAAGAUAGUCAGGAAGUUCCAGGUUCUAGUAUUAGUGGAGGGUCAAAUUUCCCUUGUAUACCAAAAACCACAACAUUUUGUGCAUGUCUAAGAGACUGGUACCCAUGAAAAUGGUGUGCAGAUACUAUUACAGUAAUCAAAUGACUUGAAGUUUUGUUCUUAAAACCUGCAGAGCUGGGACUAAAUACAUUCAUGUGUAUAAUACUACAGUCUGGAUGAGAUUUCUAGAAAUUAUGUGACAAGUAGUCAAUGUGGCUGAUCAACAUUUUCGAACUUCAAUUGAGAGACAACUGGAUAUGCUAGGCAGUCUGUUGCUUUUGGUUUCUCUGGAAAGUAAGAAAUGGAAAUUGUCUACUUGUUGUCCUGCACCAUGGUGAGGAUUUGCAUAUAAAUUUUGUCUUUCUGAUGCUUCUGCUGGCAAUUAUAUUGAAAGAAAAUGGCAAUGUUGGGCAUACAGAGACAAUUCAGUUUCUACUUGCACUCCUUCAAACAUACAGACACAAAUACAAGCAUGCGGGCCACAUACUCAAAGCCUCGUGCAUAUAGCAAUCUUUCCAUGUUUCCAUGCAACCUAAUAGCAAAAUGUAGCCUACUGUUGUAUAAUGUUUAUCUGAUUGCAUGUGUGGACCACGAAAAGAAUUGUGGUCUUCUGUGGUAUCCUUUGUGAUGUGAACAAACUAAUAGAAACAAUUGCACGACUGGACAACCAC
rnacentral:misc_RNA from 1 species